rnacentral:lncRNA from 1 species
CUGCAAAGUGAAAACUAAUUUAUCAAAUGGAAAACAUGAUUUCUGCCAGCUUCCCAAAAUGCACUUUUGGCAAGAUUAUGCGAGCCAAAACCCAGAUCUCCCUGUUAUGAUUUGCUCAAAAUGUAAAAAAAAGUUGUUGAUUAUAGAUCCAACCUUUAAAUCCAAACCAAGUUAUGAAGAUUUGAACACUAGAAUUGUUAGAGGGGGCAAAUGUUAAUGUUAAUUAAAUGAAAAUGGAAGAAAGAAUGGAAAAAUUGAAGUUACAGUUCCAAUGGUAUAAUGCUUAACAGGAAAUUCAGUUGCUCGAGGUCCUGAAAACCAGUUAAUCGGGGGGGGGGGGGGAAUUUAUGCAAUACAUGCUAUGCCCAAAUUCGAAAAGGAAAGCCUCAUCCUUGCACCAAAUUAGAGAAACAAAAGAAUUUGUCACUUUUUGUACAGUUGGCAUCCCCUGUGACUAAACAAAGAGUUCUUUCAAGAUCUUUGAAAGAUCUUAGUUCGAAUAAGAAAAUAAUUCUAAGCACUUUCGGCCCGAAUAAGAUGGUUGUCAGGAUCGGAACUGAGCCGAAAAAAACAUAUUUUACAUCAGAAAAACUUAAUCUACUUCAACUGAAACUUCACUGCAGUGAUUGUAAAAUGAUUGAGAAAAAUCUGUUUUUUCGGUCUGAGGGUGUAAAUGUUGAACCAGGAUUCAGUAAGAAAUUGACAAGCAAUAAUAAUGCUAUUCUAGACCUUUUUAAUGGAGAAAAGCUUUCUAUUUCUAUGAAGGAAACGAGUAAUGCAGGAGAAAAAGAGCUCAGAACCUGAUGACAAUGCAAUAUUUAUGACAAUGCAAUACUUUUACCAUGAUCUGCCGAGUUUCUUGAACAAUUUCAGCAAAAUAAAAUUUAUUAUGGCGAAACUUUUGGUGGCGUCGCCGCAAUUUGACGCGUUGCUUUAAAUAAAAAAAUUUCGAACAAAACAAACAAAUUUAACUGUCGCUGUAAUUUUAAAUGGACCGCAGCAUAAAAACAAAAUCAGUUGUUAGCAAAAUAUAAAAUUCCACCCAUCAAAAAAUGCUUGCAAUGCUUGCAACCUUUUCCUGAAAAAAAUCGAGAGCUUGAAAGUAUUUUUUCAACAGAAAGGCCUGUGUAUUCAAUCAGCCAAGUAUAUAAAAGUUUUACGAGACUUCAACUAAAUAGUUCAAGGAUGUUUUGGCAAAUCUGUUAGUCCUACUGACGACAUAAGGAAUUCUCCUCAAGCUAUAGGGACCUGGGAGCCAUAGUACCUUUAAAAGUACACAUAGUGGAACAACAUAUUGAGGAGUUCAUCAAAAUGAAGGGAGGACAGUUUGGUAAGAUUUCUACGUUGUUUAUUUAGUAAAUUUUUUAAUAUUAAAUAUAAAUACAAUACAAUACAUUACACUUUUGAUUUGGCUAUCCUAUUUCCUUAUACAAGAUAUAUAUGAUGUUUAGGAUUAGGUUACUGAACAGAGCAGGCCUUGAAGUCUAUUCAUCAAGACUUCAAGCAGUUUUGGGAAAAUCAAAAAGUUGGGCAUCAUAGCCCAAAUUAUCUUACAGCAAUAAAAAAAGCAACUGUUGCUUAUAACUUUAAACAUUUUUGAUGUAACAAAUUUAAUUUUUUGCAACUCCUUUAAUUUUUUAAUUUAUUGACACAUUUCUAAAACCUUACAU